AAACCAACAGGGAUUGCCUUAGUAACGGCGAGUGAAGCGGCAAAAGCUCAAAUUUGAAAUCUGGCACUUUCAGUGUCCGAGUUGUAAUUUGAAGAAGGUAACUUUGGAGUUGGCCCUUGUCUAUGUUCCUUGGAACAGGACGUCACAGAGGGUGAGAAUCCCGUGCGAUGAGGUGUCCAAUUCUAUGUAAAGUGCUUUCGAAGAGUCGAGUUGUUUGGGAAUGCAGCUCUAAGUGGGUGGUAAAUUCCAUCUAAAGCUAAAUAUUGGCGAGAGACCGAUAGCGAACAAGUACAGUGAUGGAAAGAUGAAAAGAACUUUGAAAAGAGAGUGAAAAAGUACGUGAAAUUGUUGAAAGGGAAGGGCUUGAGAUCAGACUCGGUAUUUUGCAAGCCUAUCCUUCGUGGAGAGGUUUAUUAGCAGCUUACCGGGCCAGCAUCGGUUUGGAUGGUAGGAUAAUGGCAUUGGAAUGUGGCUCCUCGGAGUGUUAUAGCCUUUGUUGAUACUGCCUAUCUAGACCGAGGACUGCGUCUU
rnacentral:rRNA from 1 species